AAUGUAAAGAAAUGGAAGCGAAACAUAAUGUAUCGCGCCGUCAGGAUAUUUGGUGCGCCGAACUUUAAGAAGAAGCAAGUGGAGAACGCAUAAUGAGCAAGCCAGUACAGAAGGUCU
rnacentral:rRNA from 1 species